AUUGAACGCUGGCGGCAGGCCUAACACAUGCAAGUCGAGCGGAAGAAGGGAGCUUGCUCCUGGAUUCAGCGGCGGACGGGUGAGUAAUGCCUAGGAAUCUGCCUGGUAGUGGGGGAUAACGUCCGGAAACGGGCGCUAAUACCGCAUACGUCCUGAGGAAGAAAGUGGGGGAUCUUCGGACCUCACGCUAUCAGAUGAGCCUAGGUCGGAUUAGCUAGUUGGUGGGGUAAAGGCCUACCAAGGCGACGAUCCGUAACUGGUCUGAGAGGAUGAUCAGUCACACUGGAACUGAGACACGGUCCAGACUCCUACGGGAGGCAGCAGUGGGGAAUAUUGGACAAUGGGCGAAAGCCUGAUCCAGCCAUACCGCGUGUGUGAAGAAGGUCUUCGGAUUGUAAAGCACUUUUAGUUGGGAGGAAGGGCAGUAAGUUAAUACCUUGCUGUUUUGACGUUACCAACAGAAUAAGCACCGGCUAACUUCGUG
rnacentral:rRNA from 1 species